rnacentral:rRNA from 1 species
AGAGUUUGAUCAUGGCUCAGGACGAACGCUGGCGGCGUGCUUUACACAUGCAAGUCGAACGGAAAGGCCCUUCGGGGUACUCGAGUGGCGAACGGGUGAGUAACACGUGGGUGAUCUGCCCUGCACUUUGGGAUAAGCCUGGGAAACUGGGUCUAAUACCGAAUAUGACCAUGCACUUCCUGGUGUGUGGUGGAAAGCUUUUGCGGUGUGGGAUGGGCCCGCGGCCUAUCAGCUUGUUGGUGGGGUAAUGGCCUACCAAGGCGACGACGGGUAGCCGGCCUGAGAGGGUGACCGGCCACACUGGGACUGAGAUACGGCCCAGACUCCUACGGGAGGCAGCAGUGGGGAAUAUUGCACAAUGGGCGCAAGCCUGAUGCAGCGACGCCGCGUGGGGGAUGACGGCCUUCGGGUUGUAAACUCCUUUCAGCACAGACGAAGCGCAAGUGACGGUAUGUGCAGAAGAAGGACCGGCCAACUACGUGCCAGCAGCCGCGGUAAUACGUAGGGUCCGAGCGUUGUCCGGAAUUACUGGGCGUAAAGAGCUCGUAGGUGGUUUGUCGCGUUGUUCGUGAAAACUCACAGCUUAACUGUGGGCGUGCGGGCGAUACGGGCAGACUUGAGUACUGCAGGGGAGACUGGAAUUCCUGGUGUAGCGGUGGAAUGCGCAGAUAUCAGGAGGAACACCGGUGGCGAAGGCGGGUCUCUGGGCAGUAACUGACGCUGAGGAGCGAAAGCGUGGGGAGCGAACAGGAUUAGAUACCCUGGUAGUCC